rnacentral:lncRNA from 1 species
CGCGCAUGUGCGCCUGCAUGGAGGCCAGGCUGGGACAGCCGGCCCCGCACAGGGAGCAGCGACAAGGAUCACCACAAAACCCAGUCAACGCCGGCACUAAGGGAUGGAGCAUGACACAGUUUCACGGGAGAGCUUAGAAAGCUAGUGGGUCCUCCCCCAAAAGCCCAUCGCUCCUGAAAGGCAGAGAGGGCAGCAUGAUAGGGAUCCUGGCUGCAGGAGCGCAGGCGCUAAGGCAUCCGGCAGUCAUCACUGUGAAGCUGAAGCUUCUAGAACACAUCCUCAGGGAAGGAACCAGACAUUCCCAUCCAGAGAAAGAGGAGAGCAGGUGCAGAAGCCACAGGAGAGGAGGCUCCUGACCCAAUGAUGGAGAGACCUUUUGGAGAAUGGACUCCUGAGGAGAUGGGAGGAAAGGACGUGGGGACUGGAGACAGGGAGGCUGUUUCCUCUCAAGAUUUGGCCCCACAUCAUGUGCUUGUGACUCAGCUCCCCCGCUGGUUUGCUCAUUGAUGAUCGAGAGAGUUGGAGACUGCU